AGAGUUUGAUCCUGGCUCAGGAUGAACGCUGGCGGUAUGCUUAACACAUGCAAGUCGAACGAAGUAGCAAUACUUAGUGGCGGACGGGUGAGUAACGCGUAAGAAUCUGCCCUCAGGUUCGGGAUAACGGGAGGAAACUGCCGCUAAUACCGGAUGUGUCUGAGAAGAGAAAGGUUAACUGCCUGAGGAUGAGCUUGCGUCAGAUUAGCUAGUUGGAGAGGUAACGGCUCACCGAGGCGACAAUCUGUAGCGGGUUUGAGAGGAUGACCCGCCACACUGGGACGGAGACACGGCCCAGACUCCUACGGGAGGCAGCAGUGGGGAAUUUUCCGCAAUGGGCGAAAGCCUGACGGAGCAAUACCGCGUGCGGGAUGAAGGUCUGUGGAUUGUAAACCGCUUUUCUCUGGGACGAUGAUGACGGUACCAGAGGAAUCAGCCUCGGCUAACUCCGUGCCAGCCGCCGCGGUAAUAC
rnacentral:rRNA from 1 species